CAGUAGCCGUGACAGGAAGGCACAGGAGUAAACAUUGUAGGCCUAGAUACUAUAGCUAACAGUGUAGCAGAUGCACAUAUGCUAGUAUGAUAAUGGACAGAAAUAUAGAGACCAUUCCAGUCACGAUGUGGAGGAGGAGUUAGGUGUGAGGGUGUUUUGUGUAUCUGCCUGUGUGUGUGUGUGUGUGUGUGUAUUACAUUAAUAUAUGAGGUGACUUCACAGCUCUGACAGGGGUUGUUACUCUAGAUAGAAGCUGUGACGGGGGUUGUUACUGCAGAUAGAAGCUCUGACAGGGGUUGUUACUCCAGAUAGAAGCUCUGACGGGGGUUGUUACUGCAGAUAGAAGCUCUGACAGGGGUUGUUACUGCAGAUAGGAGCUCUGACAGGGGUUGUUACUGCAGAUAGGAGCUCUGACGGGGGUUGUUACUGCAGAUAGGAGCUCUGACGGGUUGUUACUGCAGAUAGGAGCUCUCCAAUGAUGCUACACAGUACAGAAUAGCACCGCACACUGGCUUUGAUGUGAAUAAUUGGACCCAGCUUGUGUUUUUACUUCGUGUCUUCAUUUGUUUAUUUGUUGAAAUGUUUGUUCGUGAAGUUGUUUUUAAAGAACUAUAGCAAUGUGUUGUCAACAGGCUGUAGUGGCAUACGUAAGCAAGUAUCCCCCUUACUAACACUGAUUGGCCUGACUGUGAGACGAAGUAUAGGCAUGUUAGGCAGGGAGGGAGCAAGCAGGUGGUCUCUGUAGAGUCAACCAUUAUGCAUUUCAUCCUUAUUAUGAGCCAUAGCAAUUAAAGUGAGAAGGGACACUACAUGGGGACAUCUAAGGGGAACUCUAAGACUGCAUGCCAUCGUAGCUAGCUGUGUUGAGUACAAUACUGUUUACUUCCUUCCUUUUCUCUGGGACUUGCUGCUCCAGUGUUUCUUUAUGUCUUAUUAGUGUAUGUACAACCCAGUCAUCCAUCCAUCCGUGUAUGUGUCAGAUUUUCACCUGGGUUAAGAGGAUUCUGGGUAAAUCAAACUCAUUGCCCCUGACACAGGAAGCCAGUGUAGUGGUUAUAUAUACUACUGACUACUCAACAAUAUUCACGGCUCAGCUCACAACAGGGUUGCUGCUCUGCAGGUCCUUAUACAAUGUACUAUUGUUUAACAGACUGAUUGAGUCACAUGAGCUUUCUACACACACAGACAUAGAGAAACACACACACACACACACACACAGGUAAUUUAGACAACUCCUCU
ensembl:lncRNA